UACGUAGGCAGCGAGCGUUGUUCGGAGUUACUGGGCGUAAAGGGUGUGUAGGCGGUUGUUUUAAGUUUGGUGUGAAAUCUCCCGGCUCAACUGGGAGGGUGCGCCGAAUACUGAGCGACUAGAGUGCGGGAGAGGAAAGUGGAAUUCCUGGUGUAGCGGUGAAAUGCGUAGAUAUCAGGAGGAACACCGGUGUGUAGACGGCUUUCUGGACCGUAACUGACGCUGAGACACGAAAGCGUGGGUAGCAAACAGG
rnacentral:rRNA from 1 species